UUUGGUCCAGCUUUAUUUUCAAUUGUCUCUUAAUUUACACAUGCAAGUCUCAGCAGCCCCGUGAAGACGCCCUUUUAACCUCAACAGGAUAAGGAGCCGGCAUCAGGCACAGAAUUCUUGCCCAUAACGCCUAGUCUCACCACACCCCCAAGGGUAACCAGCAGUGAUAAAGAUUGUACAUAAGCGCCAGCUUGAAUCAGUCAAAGAGAAGAGGGCCGGCCAAUCCGGUGCCAGCCGCCGCGGCUAUACCGUUGGGCCCAAAUUGAUAUCAGACGGCGUCAAGCGUGGUUAAAAAUAAUAUAAUUAGAAUUGAAUUUUUAAGCCUGACCGUAAUAAACAUCUGCUAUUAAGAAACCCAAAAACGAAAGUUAUUCUAAUUAAUUUGAACACACGACAGUUUGGAAACAAACUGGUUAAAAAUACAANGAANUUUUUAGGGUGCAUCUUCUCAUUAUUAUUAGGGGGGGGGGUCAAUUACGGCUC
rnacentral:rRNA from 1 species